rnacentral:rRNA from 1 species
UGGGGAAUAUUGCACAAUGGGCGAAAGCCUGAUGCAGCAACGCCGCGUGAGGGACGACGGCCUUCGGGUUGUAAACCUCUUUUAGCAAGGAAGAAGCGAAAGUGACGGUACUUGCAGAAAAAGCGCCGGCUAACUACGUGCCAGCAGCCGCGGUAAUACGUAGGGCGCAAGCGUUAUCCGGAAUUAUUGGGCGUAAAGAGCUCGUAGGCGGUUUGUCGCGUCUGCUGUGAAAACCCGAGGCUCAACCUCGGGCCUGCAGUGGGUACGGGCAGACUAGAGUGCGGUAGGGGAGAUUGGAACUCCUGGUGUAGCGGUGGAAUGCGCAGAUAUCAGGAAGAACACCGAUGGCGAAGGCAGAUCUCUGGGCCGUAACUGACGCUGAGGAGCGAAAGGGUGGGGAGCAAACAGGCUUAGAUACCCUGGUAGUCCACCCGUAAACGUUGGGAACUAGUUGUGGGGUCCAUUCCACGGAUUCCGUGACGCAGCUAACGCAUUAAGUUCCCCGCCUGGGGAGUACGGCCGCAAGGCUAAACU